rnacentral:misc_RNA from 1 species
CUAGGGUAGUGUAAUGUCUGUUGUAUGCUUAUUUAUAAUCAUAAAUAAAUAGUUUGAUUUAUAUUUUUUUGAGUGUGGAAAUCUAUUAGUCUUUUAUCAAUUCCAUUUUAUUCAUGAAAUCUCCAUAUCUCAAUUUAUAUUGUACAGUGGUUUUUGUUAAGUGAUUGUGAGUUGUCAGAUUCCAGCUUUCAAGUAGUACUGCAAUCAUAGUUAACCUUCGAAAUCGGGGCCUAGCCCAGUUUUUAGAAAUUAAAUUGGGCUACAUCAAAAAACUGUACUACUUAAAUCUUAUUUGCCUUUGGGGUCUUCGCUCAGUGAUAAGUGAGUUGCCUUAAAUUGCUCAGCAGAUAUUAGAAUUGGCUUCACAAUGCUCAGAAACUUGUCCAGUGAAACUUGAAAAGUCUCUAUUUAUGUUGAAAUUGAUGGUAUACAGAUGACGAGUCCGUCUGUAGCAGUAUGUGAGGGGAGCUCUGCGAGGGUGGUGUCAAUGCCCGCGGUCCAUGGGCGACCGGCGCAAGCACCCGCAGGUCCGCGCACGCGCCUCACCACUCAUCAGCGCAAUCUCAGCCUUGACUUCAGAUCGAUGGGAAUUGUACUUCCGCCAAUGAGCGACGUGGGAGUGAGUGGCGGUGGCGCUACGGCCACCCUGCACCAGCGCAACCGCAGCCUGGACUCGGCACUGCAGCGCAUCCCCGAGGUCGACAUCACGCCCAGUCCUGAGUGCGAGCCCACUCCCCCGCCCCUCCCCCUACCACCACCCAACCCCAGCCAACUCGGCUCCGAUGAUUCGGGCAUCAACUGUGGGUCGGACCACACUGCAUCUACUCAUCAAAGUGAUGAGAGCCUCGAUUCUGAUCAACAGACGAUUCCCGAAGCAUCGGAGGCUGCUCUUACUUGUUCUCAAAGUGAAACAUCAAAAGGCUUCCUUCUUCGUCUCUUUGAGUCCAAACUAUUUGAUAUGUCCAUGGCUAUUACAUAUCUGUUCAAUUCAAAAGAACCUGGAGUGCAGAGCUAUAUCGGGAAUAAAUUGUUCAGCUUCUCGGACUCAGAAGUAGACUUCUAUCUUCCACAGCUGGUCAACAUGUACAUUCAGAUGCAUGAUGUUGCUGAAGUAAUUCAUCCUUACUUAGUAAAUAGAUGUAGACAGUCAGCAGAUUUCUCUCUGAAAUGCUCUUGGCUUUUGGAUGCAUACAGCUCUGAUGCAGCAUUGCCUUCAAAGAAGAAAUCACACGGCACCAAAUUGAAAAACUUGAUAUUGUCCGAAGAACUGAGGCCAAAGGAAAAUGAGACUAUUAGAAGAACGUUGGGUAAACUGAAAGAACUGAACGGCCCUCCUGUUGGUGGAAACUUGCCAGUUCCAGUUCCACUAUCACCUACUAAAAAAACUCAUCAACGUUCAAGAUCAGAUGCGUCUGUGAUAAAGGGGCAUAAAAACAGAAAAGGAUCAGACAGUCCAAGGUGCUACUUGGGAGAUGUGAACUCAGGCCGUGCCUUCGACAGUGGCUGCACCUGCUUUGACUCAUGUCAGGGCGUGGUUAACGAUCUCAUGGGAAAACAAAUCGAUUGCACUUGUGGUGCACCCAGACUGGCUCCAGAGUUGGAGUUGAUCAGAUGUCUGAUUUCGAUCGGGAAAGUGCUGGGCGCGCUGGACACCAAGGAGGCGAAGACGACUCGCCUCAUCAGCGAGCUGGGCGCCCUCAACCUCAACCUGCCGGCCCGCGUCUGGCUCCCCCUCCACACCAGCCUGCCCCACCACGUCGUCCGCAUCCCCCCGCAGGCCGCUGCUGUUCUCAACUCCAAAGACAAGGCUCCUUACAUAAUUUACGUAGAAGUAGUGGAUGUUGAUGACAUGGAAACGUCGCCUGUGGUGUCGCGGGCUGUGAACUCACUGAGGCACACGCGCAGUGAAGAGAAUCUGAUGGUGCACACUGAGGUCGAUGAACUGCCACCAGUUGUCAUGCCCGACUCCUGGUCUCAGGAGGAUGAUGACAUUUCGCAGCAGUACCUGCGGUUACACAAGCCUGUUGAUAGGGACACAAUCUCUCAGCUAUCACAAGAAUCGUCGGACUCGAGAGAGCCUCCGAUGUUCGCUGCAGGAGACAUAAGAAAGCGACUAUCUGAAUCAUUCCACGAUCCUCGGCCAUUCACACAUGACCCUGAAGACCCAUCUGCUGCAGCAUUAAAGGAACCUUGGGAAGAGAAGGAGAGGAGAAUACGGGAAAGCUCUCCGUAUGGCCACUUGGCAAGUUGGCGGCUCAUGUCUGUGAUAGUGAAAUGUGGCGAUGAUUUGCGCCAGGAACUGUUGGCCUCUCAGCUGCUCACCAUGUUCCAACGAAUAUGGCAACAGGAAAGAGUGCCCCUCUGGCUCCAGCCUUACAGAAUCCUGGUUCUAUCUUGUGACUCCGGACUUAUUGAGCCUAUAGUGAAUACAGUCUCUCUCCAUCAGAUCAAGAAACAUUGUCAAUUGUCAUUAGGUGAAUAUUUCAACAAGGAAUACGGCCCCACCAACUCUGAGGAUUACCUCACAGCCCAGAAGAACUUCGUCGAGUCAUGUGCUGCCUAUUGUCUCAUUUCUUAUCUGGUGCAAGUCAAAGACAGGCAUAAUGGAAACAUUCUCCUCGAUAACGAAGGUCAUCUAAUCCACAUAGAUUUCGGAUUCAUCCUUUCUACUUCACCUAGGAAUCUAGGUUUUGAAACUUCGCCCUUCAAGCUCACACCAGAAUUCGUUGAGAUUAUGGGCGGUCCAGGCUCUGAUAUGUUCGAAUAUUUUAAAAUACUAAUAUUGCAAGGUUUGGUGGCUGCUAGGAAACAUAUGGACCGCAUAUUGAGUCUGGUGGAAAUUAUGCGUUCAGGCUCGCAGCUGCCCUGCUUCAAGUCAGGUGCAGCCACAGUGCAGGCGCUCAACAAUCGCUUCCACCUGAAUAUGACUGAGGAGCAGCUGCAGCUGCUGGUCGAGUAUCUAGUCGAAACAAGCAUACAUUCGCUCAGCACCAAACUCUAUGACGGCUUCCAGUAUCUUACCAACGGUAUUCUCUAACUGAAAUAGGUUUUAUUUUCACUUGGCAAAACUCACACCUUUUGACUUCGCAUGAAGAGGUUACAUGAUUAAAUUCCAACGUCAGAUUUCGAUAAAUUAAUGCCACUAAUAAUAACUAUUAGAAUGAAAUCAGACAGAGCCUGCCAUUAGAUGAUGGCAAAUCAAACAGACAUGUCAUUCGUGUCAUGUAUAAAUCUAAUUCAAAAAUUAUUUGAAAUUCGAAUCUCUAAAUUCAGUAUUUUAGGUUAUUUUCUUAUUUGAAAUUUUAUGAACGAUAUUCUUUUUUUUUAAUUUGUAUAAAAUUAUUUUAUUUUAUGUGAGCAAUGUAUUUAAAAAUUUUAAAUGAUGUAAUAUUUUCUUACCAUCCAAAGAGAAGUGUUUAAUUCGUGUAAAUUGUUUCCAUAAAUCAAAUUUGUAAAUAUUUGUGAUAUUUCUUAUUGAAGUAUUUCAAAUAAAAAUUAUGAUAUAUCUUUUAUUAGUAGCUGCAUCUGUGCGAUUGGCAAAUUAUUGGUUAGAUAAUUAUACAGUUAUAAUGCAUUCAGGAUUUUAGUAAUUAGAGCACUACAUGUUUGAUAAAAUCAUGAUUACAAAACUCUCUCCGUAAAACAUUAAGGCAGGCUCAAAUUAAUGUUUCCUUUGUAAUAUUGGAACGCCAAUAAAUUUACUUUGAAAACCACUUUUAUUUCAAUUUAGUGUACUAAUUAUAACUAUAUACAGUUGUAAUUCAUCUUUUCUAACAUAUCUUUUGUUAUUAUCUAUAUCUUAUGCACUCCAUUGAAAUAAUUCAUGAUUAUAGUAUCCUUAAGAGUUUAUAAUCAAGAGUAAUUCACCCAUUUUUUCAAAAGAAUUAAGAAACCUGCAGUAAAUUUAUUAUUUAAUAACAAGUUGAGUUAUUAUCUUUUAGUACUAUUAUUUUAUUCGAAAUGUUUAUUCAUCUAGUUGGUAUAUUUCUUAUAAGUCAUAUAAAUAUUAAUUUAUUAAGAAAUUCUUGUAAUGAAUCAUUUUUCCAUUGUCCAUAGAUUUUAUCUAUCUAUCUUUCUCAUUUGUCCAAUUUAAAACAAGCGUUUUGUACUUAAUUUAAAUUUCUAUGUAAAGUUGUUUGAGAUUGAAGAAAUCUAAAACAAUUUGACGUUAUACGUUCAAUUUAUCAUCAACCUUUCUAUAACAUUAUUAUUAUUAUCAUCAUCAUCAUCUUAGCACUCUGUAUAGAUCACAGAUCUGAUGUUUCCUUAUAACUAAUCUUGACUAACUUCUCAUAAAUUCAAUCAGCAAUAUUGUACAAUAUGCUUAAUUUGCUCCGCUUCUUUGUAUAUUAACCGUCAACUUUGUAUUGCUACACUGAAUUCCAAACAAUUUUCAUCUUGGCUUUGAUGUUUUACAUUAUAUAAUGCAGAUUGCUCCUUUUAGUUGCCCAUAUCUUUACCAUUCUUAUCAACAACACAGGAAAGAAAACUGAUUUUUAUCUUCCAAGUUUAUAAAACGAAUUUCAACCAGACUGUCAAUGUGUACAUUUCUCUUUGUAUAUACAUUUUUGUAAAUACAUUAUAUAAAUGAAACUUAAGCCUUUGAUAUUUUGCUCAGUGUAUAUUUCAAUUAUUUAUAGAUAUAAUAAUUAAUCUAAUAUGAAGCAGAAUUGUUUAAUCUUAUUCUGCUAUAUUUUGGUUUGAAUAUCAUAGUUAGCGCUAUUUAAUUCAUAUUUAUGUGAAUAUUGCUUGUUGAGAACUAUUAUUUUUUACAUAAUAUAUUUAUAUAAAAAAUAAUGUUUUGUGAAAUAAUAUAAAUUUUAUGUCGUUGGAAAUAUAAAGCCUCUCUAAUCAGGAUUACAUUUUUUUGUAAAGUAUUUUUAUUUAUUUCAACAAGUAGCAGAUCCUUGAUAAUCCGAGCCAGUCGGGGACCAGGCAUGUCCGACGUUAUUUAUUUAUAAAAGGUUCAAUACAGACUUUAUACAACUAUACUGUGCAUUAGGAUGUUGCUACACUAUUAAUUUCUUUGAGAAAAAACAAGUCACGAACAUCCAUUAUCUACUUCAUACUAUGAAAUACAACAGUACUGUAUUAAUAUUUCUUACAAAACCCUUCUAAAGACUAGCUACUUCUUUUUCAUGUACACCAUUACAAUUAAAAUUAAAUAUUUUAGACAUUAAAAUAUUGAAUAGCAUUAUAACUACUUCAGUUCCUUUGAAUGUCCAUGACAUUGUUUUAGUUUUCAAUCAAUUGUUAGAUCUCAUAUAAUAACAUUUGCAUUCUUGCGAAAGCGAAAGAUAACUCAUUUAAUUACCUAUAAAUUUGAAUCUCUAAUCACCAUAUUUCUGCAAGAUAUAUGUAAGAUAGAAGCUCAUAGAUUCAUUAAGAAGCAUAGUUCACAUUAUAUUGGUUAUUUCCUACCCGACAGUGCCGGAUUAAGGGUUCUUCUGUACUUGUUAACGUACAAGUGAGUAGUAUGAAAACUAUAGCUGAAUCCUGUCAUUCAAUUUAAACACGUAACUAUGACAGUCUAUCGUAAAACUACGAAAUAGUUUCGGUUAAAUGGAAUUACGGAAAUUCAAUAAUCCUCUAAUUAUUCGAAUUUCAACUAAAAUACAUUUGCUUCUGAAAUAUAAAGUUUAAAACAACUAGUAAUACUUAUAUGCUUAUUAUUGUUGUUUAUAAUGCAUUCUGUUCAAUUUUUGGUAUUUCAAUCUUCAAUUAAAAUUGUAAACACCCAAACUUAUUCCUGCCAAAAUCGUAGAAAAUAUUUUUUGUCAGUUUCAAUUGGAAAAAAAUAUUCAUGCUAUUAGAUCAAUUUGAAAAAUGCUUAAUGAAAAUGUGUUGGCAAAUUUAAAAAUUUUAUCAAAGUGUUUUUGAACUCAAAUAAUCAUUGUCUAGAUUUCAAAUUUAUCAAAUUCGUACGUACGACUAAAGUAACCAUUAGAUAUUAAUGGUGGUUCCAGUCCAUCACUACAGUAGAUUUUUGUUGUAUAUACUCAUCAAUUGAUAGAUGCUUUUUAUAUUAAUAAAAACAUGCAUUUUUAAGACUGAUGAUUAUGGGCCAUGUUGUAACAUAUUUACUGUAAUAAUAGUUCUUAUGCAUGUUUUUCUUUCAUUUUAUAAAUAUUGAUAUAAAACUUAUCGCUAUUCAAUAUUUUCUCUCAAAGUUACUAUUAUAUAGCUACAUCCGAUUUUAAACCAAUAAAAGUGUUUUACAUGAA